rnacentral:lncRNA from 1 species
CACAGUCAUAUUCUGCAUUGAGUAAUAACUAUAUUUUCCCUUGAUUUCCACGGGAUUGGUUUAUAGAGAUAUACAAAAAUCAUAUAAAGUUAACCAUAGAAUACAUUAGAUGGAAAGAAAUGAUUGAAUCUUAGUGCCCAAUUGGGACCUUGUUAAAGUUAAAACUAUCACAUCAUAAGAAACUACACAAAUUUGAAAAAAUUUCCAUCACUCUUUAUCCUAACUG